rnacentral:rRNA from 1 species
GAUGAACGCUAGCGGCAGGCUUAACACAUGCAAGUCGAGGGGCAGCAUGUCCGAACUUUCGGGUUUGGAUGAUGGCGACCGGCGCAAGGGUGCGUAACGCGUGAGCAACUUGCCCGUUUCAGGGGGAUAACCGUUGGAAACGACGACUAAUACCCCAUGGUAUCACUUUAAGGCAUCUUUUAGUGAUUAAAGAAUUUCGGAUAAGGAUAGGCUCGCGUGACAUUAGCUAGAUGGCGGGGUAACGGCCCACCAUGGCGACGAUGUCUAGGGGUUCUGAGAGGAAGGUCCCCCACACUGGAACUGAGACACGGUCCAGACUCCUACGGGAGGCAGCAGUGAGGAAUAUUGGUCAAUGGCCGAGAGGCUGAACCAGCCAUGCCGCGUGAAGGUCACGGCCCUAUGGGUCUUAAACUUCUUUUGUAAGGGAGCAAUAAGGUUCACGUGUGGACUGAUGAGAGUACCUUACGAAUAAGCAUCGGCUAACUCCGUG